rnacentral:rRNA from 1 species
CUUCCGUAGGUUAACCUGCGGAGGGAUCAUUACACAAAUAUGAAGGCGGGCUGGAACCUCUCGGGGUUACAGCCUUGCUGAAUUAUUCACCCUUGUCUUUUGCGUACUUCUUGUUUCCUUGGUGGGUUCGCCCACCACUAGGACAAACAUAAACCUUUUGUAAUUGCAAUCAGCGUCAGUAACAAAUUAAUAAUUACAACUUUCAACAACGGAUCUCUUGGUUCUGGCAUCGAUGAAGAACGCAGCGAAAUGCGAUAAGUAGUGUGAAUUGCAGAAUUCAGUGAAUCAUCGAAUCUUUGAACGCACAUUGCGCCCUUUGGUAUUCCAAAGGGCAUGCCUGUUCGAGCGUCAUUUGUACCCUCAAGCUUUGCUUGGUGUUGGGCGUCUUGUCUCUAGCUUUGCUGGAGACUCGCCUUAAAGUAAUUGGCAGCCGGCCUACUGGUUUCGGAGCGCAGCACAAGUCGCACUCUCUAUCAGCAAAGGUCUAGCAUCCAUUAAGCCUUUUUUCAACUUUGACCUCGGAUCAGGUAGGGAUACCCGCUGAACUUAAGCAUAUCAAUAAGUGGGAGGAAGAG